rnacentral:lncRNA from 1 species
AAAAUUGGAGGCGAAGAAUAUUUAUCUGAGCAAUCCAUCUCGUCCAACUAUACAUUAAUUUCACACGUUCUAUUUUUUUUUAUUUUGGUGUAUUAUUUUAGUGUCAGGUGGAAACUCCCUAUUCGCAAUUAACUACUGAGUACUGUUUGAUAACGGAAAGAACGGGAACUAUCAGACAUACUGAGUAACAACACGUGGCACUACUUAAUAGGCUCAACGGUAAGGUAGGGCCUGCUUUGAGAGGUAUCCCAUCAUAUUGAUAUUUUG